AUACGUAGGGGGCGAGCGUUGUCCGGAAUGAUUGGGCGUAAAGGGCGCGUAGGCGGCGCGGUAAGUCUGGAGUGAAAGUCCUGCUUUCAAGGUGGGAAUUGCUUUGGAUACUGCCGCGCUUGAGUGCAGGAGAGGUUAUCGGAAUUCCCGGUGUAGCGGUGAAAUGCGUAGAGAUCGGGAGGAACACCAGUGGCGAAGGCGGGUAACUGGACUGCAACUGACGCUGAGGCGCGAAAGUGUGGGGAGCAAACAGGAUUAGAUACCCUGGUAGUCCACACUGUAAACGAUGAAUGCUAGGUGUAGGAGGUAUCGACCCCUUCUGUGCCGCAGUAAACACAGUAAGCAUUCCGCCUGGGGAGUACGGUCGCAAGAUUAAAACUUAAAGGAAUUGACGGGG
rnacentral:rRNA from 1 species